ensembl:lincRNA Gm2061 predicted gene 2061
GGGGACACCCCAAAGCGCCAGGAGGAUCCCCCUGGCUUGGCUGCUGCGAAGGGCGGGUCCGGCGACCCCGCGCGCAGCGGGAGAAGCAGGAGCCGCAGUCCUGGAAGAUGAGCAGCCCCACCACGUUGACCGCCAGCCCCAGGGCGCCCACGAUAAGCACCAGCUCCGGGUCGUCGAUGCGCUCGGGCCGCGCGAGGCGCAACACGGCCUCCACGAAGAUGGUGAAGCAGAGCGCGGUGAGGAAGACUGCGUUGCUGAGCGCGCCCACCACCUCGGCCCGCACGUAGCCGUAGGUGGCACCCGAGCCGCGGGGACCGCGCCGCGCGAUGUAGCCGGAGCCCAGGCCCACGCACAACGAGAUCAAGUCUGACAGCAUGUUGAACGAGUCCGAGAGCAGCGCGAUGGAGUUGCCCAGGUAACCCGACACCAGCUCGGCCACGAAGAAGGCAGCGGUGAGCACCAGCAUGAACAGCAGCCGGCAUGUCUUGCCUGAGUAACGGCCCAUCUCUACAGCCCGCUGCGCCCCGCAACAGGCCCUGUUCCAGGUGACAAUCACUCAAAGGGAACAUGUCCUGGACUUGAGAGUCUACAUUGCAGCCCCUUCAGAAAGGGUAUUUGCUGUUGGUCACUUCGGAGACAGAAGUUGGUACCAUCGACUGAGACCUGUAAGAUGGGAACAGCCUGAAGCCAGCCAGCAGUCAACAUCACUUUGAACAGGUCGCUGAUAAAGCCAAAUGAGUCCUUUUGAGAGCAGAGGCCAUCUGGAAUUCACCUGUGGUUAUGGACACUGUGACUUUGGACUGCAGGUCUCACCCCUUCUCCAGGUAACAAGGGCAGCCCAGAGAGUCACUACGAUACUGACUGCUGCUUGUCAACUCAGAUCUAGAAUCAGUCCCUUGGGAAAUAUGGGAAAUCCUGAUGGAUUCGCUGCAGUGGGAAGCUAGGCAGCACUAUUCCACGAUCUGGGGUCCUGGGCUGUUCGAAAAGGAGAAAGGGGGUUGAGCAGGGUGUGGAAUUCUCAGCGAUUCCUGAGGGCUCAGAGACAAGCUGCCCUGCCUCCUGCUCCAUGACUUCUUCACUGGGAUACACUGCAUCCUCGAAGACUCAGCUCAAACCAGCCCUUCCUUCCCUGAAUAGCAUUUGUCAGGUGUUCCUCACAGCAAAGAGAAGAACAGUGAAUAGGGGAACUCUUGUACUCAGGGUCUGCCUGUGGAGGUGUGGGCAAGAUAUGUGACUGGGGCAGGAAGAAGAGAGCAUUAGAGACCAAACCAGGAAGCUAGGAAACACCUCCCAUUCAGAGUUCAACACUACAUACUGAUAUCAUGUGAAGUCUGAUGGGUGCGUGCAGGGGGAAGUAGUCAGCUGUGAGACUUCCAAUUCAAAUGAAGGAGAAAGAAUACUCAAAGUUUAAAAAAAUAUAUAGAAAACGUCACCUUGGUGUUUAUUCUAAACCAUAGCCUUAAGGGCAAGUAAAAUUCUGUAUUGUUUCAUAAUGUACAAAAAGAUCGUAUGUACUAUUUGAAGCUCUCAGAACUAACUCACACACACAGCUUUCUUCACUGCUGGACUUACUUUAAACUUUAGACUACGUGAAAAUGAAACUGUCCAUUGUCCAGGAAAAUAUGAGAAAUAGCUGUUCUUAGUUAGAACCCCUGUUGGCUGAGUGUGGCAGUGAAUGCUUGUACACCCCAGCCCUUGGGAGGCAAAGAUAGAAGGGCCACAAGCUCCAGGUCAGCCUGUUCUACACAAAGAGGCUCACACCAUCCUAGACAACAUAGGGAAAUGUUGUCACAAAGACUGUAGUUAGCUAAAACCUCCGGACACGUCCCCAAUGCACCGGUUACAUACCCGUGGAAAAGCAUGGGGACACAUGUGUCAAGAUCUCAGUUCCAGUACCAGCUCUGUCAGAUGUGAGCCUGCCUGUCACUUGUGUUCCCAUUAUGAGCUGGACAUAGGGUAUCACCCUCUUCCAUGGGAAUCAAAUAAAAUAGCAUGUGUGCUCAGCCAACAUACCACCAGCAGAUAAGCUGCAGGCAGCCCCUUCCCAUUAGCAUCUCACUGCCAACCUCCCCAGAACUUGACUUCUUUCACUAAGUAGCGUGGUAAGAGUAUCUUUGAGAGGUAUUUAGAAUGUUACCUUUUUAAUUAAAUUGUCUACUUUCCCUUGGCCAAAUUAAUCUGGUUUAAUUGGCUUAGAACUAACUAGCUACUGGUCAGCAGAGUAUGUUAUAAAACUAAACAUACUUAAAGGGCUAGGGAAUGUAGCCUGGUGGCAUAGAGCCUGCCUGGCAUAUGUAAGACCCUGUGUUCAAUCCCUGCACCACCGUCACAUACACUGUCAACAACAACAAUAGCAAUAGCAACAACAUCAAAACCAGAAGGUUGACUGGACGUUGGAAAGAUGAAGACCAUGUCUUGCUCUUGAAGAAGAUCUAAGCACCCAUGUGAGGUAGCUUAUGAUUUGGUUAUGAGUACCCACCUGAGGUAGCUCCAGGCGAUUGAUCGGAUGCCUUCUCUGGGGCUCUGAGGGCAACAGUGCCCAAAGGUAAACACACCCAGAUACGCACAUGUAUAGUUUAUUCUCUAAAACAUGUAUUAAAAUAAAUGUAUUACCAGUCUUCACUCU